GUGAGGAAUAUUGCGCAAUGGAGGCAACUCUGACGCAGCCAUGCCGCGUGCAGGAAGAAGGCGCUACGCGUUGUAAACUGCUUUUAACCGGGAAGAAACCCCAGGACGUGUCCUGGGUUGACGGUACCGGAGGAAUAAGCACCGGCUAACUUCGUGCCAGCAGCCGCGGUAAUACGAAGGGUGCAAGCGUUAUCCGGAUUCAUUGGGUUUAAAGGGUGCGUAGGCGGAGCGUUAAGUCAGUGGUGAAAUCCUGCAGCUUAACUGUAGACUUGCCAUUGAUACUGGCGCUCUUGAGUGCGCUUGAAGUGGGCGGAAUGUGCCGUGUAGCGGUGAAAUGCUUAGAUAUGGCACAGAACACCAAUUGCGAAGGCAGCUCACUAAGGCGAUACUGACGCUGAGGCACGAAAGCGUGGGGAUCGAACAGGAUUAGAAACCCGAGUGUCC
rnacentral:rRNA from 1 species